UACAGAGGGUGCGAGCGUUAAUCGGAAUUACUGGGCGUAAAGCGCACGUAGGUGGUCUGUUAUGUCAGAUGUGAAAGCCCUCGGCUUAACUGAGGAAGUGCACCUGAAACUGGCAGGCUUGAGUACGAAAGAGGGUCGCGGAAUUCCCGGUGUAGAGGUGAAAUUCGUAGAUAUCGGGAGGAACACCGGUGGCGAAGGCGGCGACCUGGUUCGAUACUGACACUGAGGUGCGAAAGCGUGGGGAGCAAACAGG
rnacentral:rRNA from 1 species